GAGGGGCAGCAGGGUAGCAAUAUCGCUGGCGACCGGCGCACGGGUGCGUAACACGUAUACAAUCUGCCUUUAACAGGGGGAUAGCCCGGAGAAAUCCGGAUUAAUACCCCAUAACACUUUGAGUGGCAUCACUUGGAGUUGAAAGUUCCGACGGUUAAAGAUGAGUAUGCGUCUGAUUAGCUAGUUGGUGAGGUAACGGCUCACCAAGGCGACGAUCAGUAGGGGAUCUGAGAGGAUUAACCCCCACACGGAUACUGAGACACGGAUCCGACUCCUACGGGAGGCAGCAGUAAGGAAUAUUGGACAAUGCCCGCAAGGGUGAUCCAGCCAUGCCGCGUGCAGGAAGACGGCCCUAUGGGUUGUAAACUGCUUUUACACCGGAGAAAACCCCCCUUCGUGAAGGGGGCUGAUAGUAUGGUGAGAAUAAGCAUCGGCUAACUUCGUG
rnacentral:rRNA from 1 species